CGGACGGGUGAGUAACACGUGGAUAACCUACCUAUAAGACUGGGAUAACUUCGGGGAACCGGAGCUAAUACCGGAUAAUAUAUUGAACCGCAUGGUUCAAUGGUGAAAGACGGUUUUGCUGUCACUUAUAGAUGGAUCCGCGCCGCAUUAGCUAGUUGGUAAGGUAACGGCUUACCAAGGCAACGAUGCGUAGCCGACCUGAGAGGGUGAUCGGCCACACUGGAACUGAGACACGGUCCAGACUCCUACGGGAGGCAGCAGGC
rnacentral:rRNA from 1 species